MGRRKKCGCCCUURGAGUUUGAUCCUGGCUCAGAAUGAACGCUAGCGGUGUGCCUAAGGUAUGCAAGUCGAGCGAUUUGAUUGAUUCGCAGGAUGAGAUCAGAUAGCGGCGAACGGCUGAGUAACACGUUGGUACCUACCCUUAACUUGAGGAUAGCCCCGGGAAACUGGGAGUAAUACUCAAUGUGAAAGCAAUUUCAAAGUCGCAAGACGGKUAGGGAUGGGCCUGCGGSCUAUCAGGUAGUUGGCGGGGUAAAUGCCCACCAAGCCUACGACGGGUAGCUGGUCUGAGAGGAUGACCRGCCAGAGGGGGACUGAGACACGGUCCAGACUCCUACGGGAGGCAGCAGUGGGGAAUUUUGCGCAAUGGGGGAAACCCUGACGCAGCAACGCCGCGUGAGUGAUGAAGGCUUUCGGGUCGWAAAGCUCUGUCAGAGGGGAAGAAAUGGGUCGUGCUAAUAUCACGGCUUCUUGACGGUACCCUCAAAGGAAGCACCGGCUAACUCCGUGCCAGCAGCCGCGGUAAUAC
rnacentral:rRNA from 1 species